rnacentral:rRNA from 1 species
UACGUAGGGACCAAGCGUUGUCCGGAAUUAUUGGGCGUAAAGAGCUCGUAGGCGGUUUGUCGCGUCUGCUGUGAAAACUCGGGGCUUAACCCCGGGCCUGCAGUGGGUACGGGCAGACUAGAGUGCGGAAGGGGCUACUGGAAUUCUCGGUGUAGCGGUGAAAUGCGUAGAUAUCGAGAGGAACACCUGCGGCGAAGGCGGGUAGCUGGGCCGACACUGACGCUGAUGCGCGAAAGCCAGGGGAGCGAACGGGG